CUGGCUGACUAUACUAUGUUGAUAGGCUCACAAUUACUGCAUCUAUACUGAAAAUACAUAGACUCUUUUCCUUAUCAUGAGUCCCUAAACAAUACAAUAGAACAACUAUUUGCAUAGCUUUUAUAAUGCAUGAGGUAUUUUAAGUAAUCUAGACAUAAUUGAGGGUAUACAAGAGGAUGUGGGUAAGUUACAUACAAAUAUGUCAUUUUAUAAAAGGGACUUGACAUGGCUCACGGAGUGCUGCAAACAAUACCCAGCAGGUAUCAAGGGAUGACUGUACUGGAAAGAAACUGAAACUACUUAAGGCUUUACCAAGUGCUUACAUUCACAGGGUCUAUCUCCAAUGUGUUUCGUACAAGUAUCUGAAAUGAAAUAAAAUUAAUAAAUGCUUUCCCACAUUCCAUACAUUUAGAGAGAAUGCUAGUGAGUCUUUUUAUGUCUAUGCAAGGAAUUGAGAGAAGCAAAUGCUUUCCCACAUUCCUUACAUUCAUAUGGGUUCUCUCCAGUGUGAGUUUUUUUCCAGUGAGUCUUUUUAUGUCUAUGCAAGGAACUGAGAGAAGCAAAUGCUUUCCCACAUUCCUUACAUUCAUACGGGUUCUCUCCAGUAUGAGUUUUUUCAUGUCCUUGAAGAAAACGGGAAUGAGUGAAGGCUUUACCACAUUGUUGACAUUCAUAGGAUUUCUCUCUCAUGUGAAUUCUUUCAUGUCGUAGAAAGCAAGUGAGCCAAGAGAAUGCUUUCCCGCAUUCCUUACAUUCAUACGGCUUCUCUCCAGAGUGAAUUCUUUCAUGUACCUUUAAGUUAUCAUAAUGACCGAAGGCUUUCCUACAUGUUUUACACUCAUAAGGUUUCUCUCCUGUGUGAGUCCUUUUAUGUCGAGAAAGGUAUCUGAAACGACUGAAUGCUUUCCCACAUUCCUUACACUCAUAUGGCUUCUCUCCAGUGUGAGUUGUUUUGUGAUUUUGAAAGGAACAGAAAUCAAUAAAGGCUUUCCUACGUUUGCAUUUAUAGGGUUUCUCUCCAGUAUGAGUUGUUUCAUGCCUUCGAAGGGAACUGGAAAUACGGUAGGCUUUGCCACAUUGUUUACAUUUAUAGGGUUUCUCUGCAGUGUGAGUCCUUUCAUGUCUUUGAAAUACACUGGGAUAAACAAAGGCUUUCCCACAUACCUUGCAUUUAUGAGGUCCAUCUCCAGUGUGCAUUAUCAUAUGACUUCGAAAGCUUGAGCGAUGAGAUAAUGCUUUCCCACACUGCUUGCAUUCAUAGGGUUUCUCUCCAGUGUGAGUUCUUUCAUGACUUUGCAGUGAACUAGGACAAUCAAAGCCUUUCCCACAUAUCUUACAUUUAUGAGGUCCAUUUCCAGUGUGCCUUAUCAUGUGUCUUUGAAAGCUUCCCAGAUGAUGAAACGCUUUCCCACAUUGCUGACAUGCAUAGGGUUUCUCUGCACUGUGAGUGGUUUCAUGUCUUUGAAGGGAACCGGAAACACUGAAGGCUUUCCCACAUUGUUUACAUUUAUAGGGUUUCUCUCCAGUGUGAGUUCUUUCAUGUAUUAGACAAGAACUGGAAUCAGGGAAGGCUUUAGAACACUGCUUACAUUUAUAUGGUUUCUCCCCAGUAUGUGUUCUUUCAUGUCUUAGAUAGGAACUGUAAAAAGGAAAGGCUUUAGAACACUGUUUACAUUCAUACGGUUUCUCCCCAGUAUGUGUUCUUUCAUGUCUUAGAUAGGAACUGUAAAAAGAAAAGGCUUUAGAACACUGCUUACAUUCAUAUGGUUUCUCUCCAGUGUGCGUUCUUUCAUGCAUAUGUAAUAAACUGGGCCAAAAAAACGCUUUCCCACACAAUUUACAUUUAUAAGGUCCAUCUCCACGCUGCACUGCCAUGUGUCUUUGAAGGUUUCCCAAAGAACUGAAGGACUUCCCACAUUCUUUACAAUCAUAUGGUUUCUUUCCAGUGUGAAGCCUCUCAUGUGUUUGAAGUGAGUUGUGGUAACUGAAGGCUUUCCCACGUUGUUUAUGCGUAUCUGGCUUCUCUCCACAUUCAUGAUACUCAUGUGGUUUGUGCCCAGCACCAACUCUGAUGUAACAAUUAAGGGAUGAAUGACCCAUGACGAUUUCUCCUCUCAUACUGCUUUCACAUGGACCUACUCCAGGAAGAGUGUUCUUGGUCACAAUACUAUCUUGAAUCUGGCUAGAUGUUUCUCCACAUUGACUUCCACCUUUACUUUCAACAAAUC
rnacentral:lncRNA from 1 species